AUGUUUUUAUUUGUAACUGGAGAGAGAAAAAAACAAAUGCGUGAAGUAGCUGGAAAACUGCAAUGUUCCAGUUUCUCCACAUUCUGCUGCAGUAUUUGCAAUUGUGAUGCUGCAGUCUCAGGCUUUGUUAACCAGAGAUUGUUCUCAUGUGCCACCCAGCUGAUGGACCUGUUCCCUUGUGGCCUUCACCAGAACCCUGCCACUUUUGCCCUGAUGCAAGUCUGCACACAGAAGGGCUGAAAUAAAGAACAAUAUCUACAGUUAUAGGGGACUUCCUCUGUGCCAGGCAUAAGUUUAAACAUAUUAUAGAAAUCAUAUCAUUUAAUCAUCAUUCACAUUACCCCCAUUUAGUAGAUUAGAGAUCUGAGACUCAGAGGUAAAGCUGCUUGUCCUGCAUCUCCUGCUGGGUCGGACACUUGAGCCCAGCAGUUGUGGGGCCCCUUCUCUUAAUCUCCUCCAUGUAUGUGUGAUGCAUACAAGCAUACACAUAUAGACACAGAAAGCAGUAUAGUUCUAAUAUCUCCUUUGAACUGUGAUGAAGAUGAUGACAUUCGAAUUUUCUGAUUUCUGCUGGAGAACUACACAUAUUGCUCUGUGCAGAGAAGAAACUCAUUUGAACUAGUCAAAUAGAGGAUAAUGAAUCUUCCCAUUUCUGCUUCCUGUUGUGCCUACUGAUAGAAAUUUGUACAGAAGUUUAUCCCACAUGCUGCUUAGAAACACUGCAAACGCUUGAGGUUUACAUUUCCAGGAGGAGGAAACCCUGGUAACAACUUCGGACCUAAAGAUGAGAAUGAUUAAUUUUCUGAACUUGUGUUGUCCUUAUGUCUGAACUUAUUUUUGUCCUGUCACUCUCAUAAACUUUUCAAAGCUUUUGUUGAGAUGAUGGACCUCUAGAUUCCAGUCAGGUGAACAAGUGUUUAAUUCAAGUGCUGCUAAUCAAUGAUGCUGAGAUCUGUUUAGCCUGCAAUUCACUAGUCACAGUGGGAAGAUAAAGCACAUAACACGGCUGCUCCUUUAAGGCUCUCACAAAAUCCUCAGAG
rnacentral:lncRNA from 1 species